GUUGUAUCACAGUGGUAGAGUACUUGCCUAGCAUGUGUGAGGCACUGGGUUCAAUUCUCAGCAUCACA
rnacentral:tRNA from 1 species